GCGGGUGUAGUACAGUGGCUAGUAUGUAAGCCUUCCAAGCUCGAGACGGGAGUUCGAUUCUCCCCACCCGCACCA
rnacentral:tRNA from 7 species